rnacentral:rRNA from 1 species
UACGUAGGGGGCAAGCGUUGUCCGGAAUCAUUGGGCGUAAAGCGCGUGUAGGCGGCUGACUAAGUCCGCUCUGAAAGCCCGGGGCUCAACCCCGGGAGGCGGGUGGAUACUGGUCAGCUCGAGUCCGGAAGAGGAGUGUGGAAUUCCUGGUGUAGCGGUGAAAUGCGCAGAUAUCAGGAGGAACACCAAUUGCGAAGGCAGCUCGCUGGGACGUUACUGACGCUGAGACGCGAAAGCGUGGGGAGCAAACAGG